GAUGAACGCUGGCGGCGUGCCUAACACAUGCAAGUCGAGCGAUUCUCUUCGGAGAAGAGCGGCAGACGUGCGUGUAACGCGUGGACAACCUGCCCUGUACACACUAACAACAUACCGAAAGUUAUACUAAUACGAGAUAAUAUCCUAUUAUCGCUUUUUAGAAGUAUCAAAGAUUUGUCGUUACAGGAUUGGCCCGCGUCGGAUUAGCUAGUUGGUAAGGUAAUGGCUUACCAAGGCGACGAUCAGUAGCCGAACUGAGAGGGUGAUCGGCCACAGUGGAACUGAGACACGGUCCAAACUCCUACGGGAGGCAGCAGUGGGGAAUAUUGCACAAUGGGCGAAAGCCUGAUGCAGCAACGCCGCGUGAGCGAUGAAGGCCUUAGGGUAGUAAAGUUCUGUCCUCAAGGAAGAUAAUGACGGUACUGGAGGAGGAAGCCCCGGCUAACUACGUG
rnacentral:rRNA from 1 species